GACGAACGCUGGCGGCGUGCCUAAUACAUGCAAGUAGAACGCUGAAGAGAGGAGCUUGCUCUUCUUGGAUGAGUUGCGAACGGGUGAGUAACGCGUAGGUAACCUGCCUGGUAGCGGGGGAUAACUAUUGGAAACGAUAGCUAAUACCGCAUAAAAUGGAUUAUCGCAUGAUAAUCCAUUGAAAGGUGCAAAUGCAUCACUACCAGAUGGACCUGCGUUGUAUUAGCUAGUUGGUGGGGUAACGGCUCACCAAGGCGACGAUACAUAGCCGACCUGAGAGGGUGAUCGGCCACACUGGGACUGAGACACGGCCCAGACUCCUACGGGAGGCAGCAGUAGGGAAUCUUCGGCAAUGGACGGAAGUCUGACCGAGCAACGCCGCGUGAGUGAAGAAGGUUGUCGGAUCGGAAAGCUCUGUUGUAAGAGAAGAACGAGGGUGAGAGUGGAAAGUUCACACUGUGACGGUAUCUUACCAGAAAGGGACGGCUAACUACGUG
rnacentral:rRNA from 1 species